CCACUGAACUUUCCUUCUAUUAGUAAGACAACGUAUAUCACCAUCCUUUUUACUCAUUGUUUCACUUUCAUGAGAAUUCUGAUGAGAAAUUGAAAUACCAUUACUUGGCCUUUUCAAGCUACUUUUAAGGGCUAUAUUUCUGAAAGUAUUACCAUCUUCCACAGGAAUUUCAUCUUUCCCCUCAUCGGUACUUAUAGACCCAGG
rnacentral:misc_RNA from 1 species